UAUGCAAAGUGGCAAUGCAGUCCUCAAUUCAGUUUGAAUUAUUUUGAUCAUUAUUAAAAAUCAAAAUGAAAGCUCAAUCAAUUACAUUUCAUAUUGGCAUGUUUUUUUGGUCUCUUUAUUCAAAUGUCAAUUCAUUUUGCAAUUGGCAAUUCAAUGUGCCAGCGAAACAGCACCCCCAGUCUAUUGCAUUUACAUUUACUUGUCCCCACGCUCUUUUGGUGUCAAAAUUCAAAUGGCAAUGCAAUAUGUCAGUCCUCUCAUCAAGGCGGGUCUUCAGUUAUGACGCCACUUCACCUCGUUCAGUAACUAACAAAUUGGGUAAGCGCACCGGCACUUUACUUUGACCACGCCAACGUUCUUCUUGAUGGGUUCUACCUCAGAUAACGUCCAUGUGUUCAAUCUAGAGUUCAGACAUUAGUUUAUUAAAACAGGGCCAUUUUGUGUGUAUCUACAUCCUCAUGCGUAGGCAUUACAAGCUAAUGCUAGCUAGGCCUGGAUAAAGUUAGUAGCUUGCUAACAACCUAAGCUAAUGCUAGCAAGGUAACUUAGCUAAAGUUAGCCAAGUUUACUGUUGGUUGCUUACUAAUUUACAAUGCUAGUGACAACAGCAAUGGCUGAAUGGCAUUUCAAUCCUUUAUCAACCUAACUUUCCUAAACAACAUAAGUUAAGCCAUUAGCCCGAGGGGUCUCGUUUCAGGGCUAUAAGCCACUCUGGGGGUACUGUAAAAGCCUGUCAAAGACCAUAGGUGAUCCACGUUUAUGCUGUUGAUGCGUAUUUAUUGCUCACCACAUAUAAACAAGUUCCAUCAAGUAACCCACAGGCAGUAAAAAAACCCCCAAAACUAUUGGUAGUCUACAGUGUAAACAGCACAUGAAUUAUACUAACGUUGUACUACACUACAAUACCACAGCUGGUACGUGUUCUUUGGAGAAAGGUUAGGGCAUGUCAGUGUCUCCUCCCUUAGUCCUGAAUAGCUAAUGCUACUAGUCACUAACAUGUUUAUUAUAUUUUCAUGAUGAUGAUAAUGAGUUAGGGAUGAUCUAAAUGACACAAUGACCUCCACGCCCAGCAAGCAGAAAAAGAAGGGCUACUUGAUUCCAGUCUCUGGGAUGUCCAGUGUCAUCGGUUUACUUUCACCAGACCGGUAUGUGGCACAUCUGCAAAACCAGAACAACUACUUGUGGACAGACAUAGGGUUGCUGCUCUUCUUCUGCUGUGCCGUAAGCUGUAAAUGAGGAAACAAAGGGUUUGGGUGGCCCCCCAUCAAUGAACGUAGAGACCACAAUGUGGUCCAGAAGCUCUGGGCAGGUACUGAGAGGCUCUACAAAUAAUUUAGAAUGAGUGCAACUGAGAUGGACCAAGUUCUCUCCAUAACUGGACCUGACAUCACAAAGAUGCACAUAAAUUACAGAAGUCCCAGAGAAAAAACAUUCUCUGGAACGAUAGAUAAAAUGAUAUACAUUGCGUAAACUUUAGGCACACCAGUAACUUAAACCUUAUUUGUUUCAAAUAACACAAACUUACAUCUGAACAUUGUAAACAUUUAAGCAAUAUGAUAGUUAUAUGACUGAAUAUGUGGGGCCCUGUGCCUCACUCAUAAUCGCUCAUAAUGUGGAUCCUGCUUUGCCGUUGGCCCUCCCAUAGACCCAUGAUAGGGUGGAAUAUUAGAGCUCAAUGGUGGGUGUCUAGCUUCCCACUACUCUGACAUGACAGACCUGGAUCUUUCACAUAGCUGGGGUGUGACAGCAUAUGUCAUGGGUCUUCAGUCACCCUUUUGUGAGGUUUCUAGCUCCUCCAGUAUUUGUAGGAAGCUCAAUUUGGCUUUUGUUUUAUUUCUAGCAUUGAGUCUCUCCAUUUGAGGGAACAAACUUGACAAGAACAGCUCAGAUUCAUUUUUGGGUGCUACUGGCUCAGUUGCCUUUGGUGGACUUGUCAGAAAGUCCAUCAACAUUUCAUUCACAGCUGUGUUAGGGCUUCUGCUUCUGUAUCUUCUGCUGGAUGCUCUGGCUCAUUGUGGUGGAAUUUGCUCAGUCUGGGGAGGUGGAGCUGCAUCCUCCUGCUGCUCCUGUGUCUCCUCCAAAUUGCCCGUGUUGUAAAACAAUUGUAACUGUAAAUUACUCUAAAAACAUAGAAAGUAAAAUAAGAAGUAAAUAAGAAUUAAAAUAAAGAUUUUUGUUACUGGCUUUACAGUGGGAAUGAAAUCAAGACUGAAAAUGGUUUAUUGCCCCAGACCCACUGGGAAGAAGCUGUUUUUUACACCACUUCACGUACGAGUCUCUCAGUGACUUCCACCUUGCCUUGCAUUCUGCCACUGUAAAUGUGAAAUUAGUAAAUUAUCAAACAUGUUUACAGACUAGUAUUUCUCCUCUUUUACAGGUAUAUAGGAAAUGGUAAAUGGAGUCUUUCUGACUACUCAAAGCACCUACCAUCAGUGUAUUCACUGAUGGUAGGUGCUGCUCACCAGUACAAAGAAACUAACUAAUCAGUCACACACGAAAGGCACAGCCCUCGGGAGCAAUUUGAGGUUCAGUGUCUUGCCAAAGGACACUCCUGCAUGUGGGCUGAGGGAACCCAUGAUCGAACCGCCGACCUUCCGAUUGGUGGACAACCCGCUUCACCACCAAGCCACAGCAACCCGCACGAGAGACUCCAUAUCCAGCCUCAUGUUCAGCUACUGCUUAGGAAUGUGACUUUUAUGAAAUUUAGUCCAUGAGUGGUGGGUUCAUCUCAUUUGUUUGAGUUACAAUAUUUCAGCCUUUUCCUAUAGUCAGAACCAGUGGGCAGACAGCAUAUGCAGCGAGAGACAAGCUCUGCCAAUAUUUCAACUUGCCACAAGGAAGUGUGCCAUGGCAGGACUGUAUGGUAUAGUUGAUAGUGAUGUGAAGAGUGAACACAGUUAGAGUUGAGUACUUUAUGUAUGCUGGAAAUGUUUCUACAUUUAUUUUCUUCAAUUAAAUAAUUUAUUGCAA